GCUGUGUUGGCCUUGUGCUCCAGAAGGAAGUUGUCCUGUCUUUUAAGAUGGAACUCGACUUGCAGUCAUUGGGCCUUUAUCCCUGUUCAUCCGAGAGGUCUGGUCCACUCUGCGCUCUCCUUGUCUCUACUGCUGGGCUCCUUUGGCUAGGACUUCCAGGCCCCCUCGGCCCUUCCUUGCCGUUCCUGUGGGUGCAGGGACCCUUGUGAUGGCACUUACGGUCCGCCCAGAUGAUCCAGGAGAUCUCCUCAUCUCAAGCUUCUGAACUGAAUCACACCUGCAAAGACUCUUUUCCCAAAUAAGGCCGCAAAUGACUUCUGUUUGCACCUUUGAUUGAUUCAGGGAUUGGAGAAGACCAAGUACACAAGCACAUGCAGGUCCAGCUCUUCAGGCUCUAGAGAAGGAGACUCCUGACGCCCUUUUCCUGAACUCUUGUCUGAUGUGAAGGGCAACAACUUCAGACACAUUGUGGGGCAACUCGGAGAACACCUUUGGUCAUGGUAGUCCUGGCUCUCUUCCUCCUAUCUGAGUUCCCAGAUCACACUGGCUACUAGAGGAGAGGAAUAAACCCCCAAAGUCUUAGUGGAGGACAGUGAGAAGUUGGCUGGGGGUCAAGCAUUUGCCCUGAGUUACCUGAGAUGGAUGGACACCCCUGCGGAAAAGGUUUGCUGACUCCUAGUUUAAUGCAUCAAGCCCCAAACAAGGAGUGACCCGAGGAACCCAGUCCUGUGCGACCGCUUCACCAAAAUACAAGAGUCCACAAUGCCGGGAAUCUGCAUGAUGUCCCCACACCCAGGGCCACUCAGCGUGCACCUUAGCGUAUUAAAGUCUCCAAAGGCGCGUGUGCAGGAGAACCUGCUUGCGUCCAAAUUGCCUCGCCCGGACUUCUCUCAGCUACCAACCUUCUUUUUCUCAGAAUACCGCCUAACAGUCCUGAAAAGCCAGUUAUCUGUGGACGCCCCUAGUAAACACCAGUUAGGUGGCACGAUCCCACACGGCCCGGGUUCUCCGCCCAUCCCUGUCCCUAAUGAGCUCAGUGACCUUGGCUGAAUUACAUCCUUCUGGGGCCUGCUUCCUGCUGGGUGAAUGGCAUCAUGAUGGCUGUCCUAUCUCUCUUACAGGUUUUCUAGGCAAGAAGCUGAGGCCAAGGCAAGCUGGCUGCCCUCACUCCCACGGCGGGUUAGCAGAGCUGGGACUAGAGCCUCUGUCUUCAAGCUCCCAAGCCCCCAGUCCUUUUCCUGCUCCGCCAUCUGUGUAGGGCCCCACCAGUGUGCCACACAGUGGGAAAGAGGACUGAGUGAGAGCCAGGGGAUCUACCCCUGGCAAUUGGCUCUGCCACAGUCCUUCCUCCUGGCUUCAGCAAGUCACUGCCGCUCUCUGGAGAUUCUUUUCCUCAUCUUUAAAAAAAGCCCCAAAGGUUUCACUGAGUAUUCUGUUAUUCUAUUGUUUAGAUUUUUGCUUGAAAAUAUUCAGAUAGCAUUCUCCUAGCAAGGACCCUUGGCUGAGGGAGGGUGUCUGAUUUUGGUGUCCCUGGCCCUUGACUGUCUGCAGUUCCAGCAGCAGAGAAGCAAGCAGACAGAGGGGGCACAGCGGGCAGCUCACUGAGGCCGUGCCAGGCAAAGGGGCUGGGGGCAGCCCCAGCUGAGAGGAGGGCUGGGAGCUUACGUCUUCAUGGAGGACUCCCUGCCCGGGGGCCUCAGGGGCCCUGCUCCCGCAGCCUGGAUCGGGGUUGCUCGGGCACUACUGUCUCCAGCAGGCACGUCCAGGUCCCCUUCAGCGCUUCCCUCUGCAGACGCCAUCUCUACGCUGGUGGGGUCCAUGGUCCACACACCUGCAGCUGAGGGUCCCCUGACGAGCUCACCAGCAGCUGGAGUGGCAGUGGGGCUGGUGCUGGCAGGACCUGUGUGAACAGCAGAAGGAGGCCACGUGGGAAGGCUAUCCGGGCCGCCUAGAGGAUCUGGCAAGGGAGGCCAGGCUUACAGUGUUUCCGCAAGGAAUGCAGCCUCACUAAGCCACGCAGCCUUUGGCCAACAUGUUGGAUAAAAUAAAAACGGGGAAACCAGAUGGA